CCUACGGGUGGCAGCAGUAGGGAAUCUUCCACAAUGGGCGAAAGCCUGAUGGAGCAACGCCGCGUGGGUGAAGAAGGUCUUCGGAUCGUAAAACCCUGUUGUUAGAGAAGAAAGUGCGUGAGAGUAACUGUUCACGUUUCGACGGUAUCUAACCAGACAGCCACGGCGAACUACGUGCCAGCAGCCGCGGUAAUACGGAGGGGGCAAGCGUUAUCCGGAUUUUUUGGGCGGAACGGGAACGCAGGCGGUCUUUUAAGUCUGAUGUGAAAGGCGUCGGCUUAACCGGGGUAGUGCAUUGGAAGCUGGGAGACUUGAGUGCAGAAGAGGAGAGUGGAACUCCAUGUGUAGCGGUGAAAUGCGUAGAUAUAUGGAAGAACACCAGUGGCGAAAGCGGCUCUCUGGUGUGUAACUGACGCUGAGGUUCGAAAGCGUGGGUAGCAAACAGGAUUAGAUACCCUUGUAGUC
rnacentral:rRNA from 1 species